CCUACGGGAGGCAGCAGUGGGGAAUAUUGCACAAUGGGCGGAAGCCUGAUGCAGCAACGCCGCGUGAGGGAUGACGGCCUUCGGGUUGUAAACCUCUUUUAGCAGGGAAGAAGCGUAAGUGACGGUACCUGCAGAAAAAGCGCCGGCUAACUCCGUGCCAGCAGCCGCGGUAAU
rnacentral:rRNA from 1 species